rnacentral:rRNA from 1 species
CCUACGGGUGGCAGCAGUGAGGAAUAUUGGUCAAUGGGCGCGAGCCUGAACCAGCCAAGUCGCGUGAGGGAAGACGGUCCUAUGGAUUGUAAACCUCUUUUGUCGGGGAGCAAAAGACGCCACGCGUGGCGUUCCGAGAGUACCCGAAGAAAAAGCAUCGGCUCACUCCGUGCCAGCAGCCGCGGUAAUACGGAGGAUGCGAGCGGUAUCCGGAGUUAUUGGGUUUAAAGGGUGCGCAGGAGGAAGAUCAAGUCAGCGGUAAAAUUGAGAGGCUCAACCUCUUCGAGCCGUUGAAACUGGUUGUCUUGAGUGAGUGAGAGGUAUGCGGAAUGCGUGGUGUAGCGGUGAAAUGCAUAGAUAUCACGCAGAACUCCGAUUGCGAAGGCAGCAUACCGGCGCUCAACUGACGCUCAUGCACGAAAGUGUGGGUAUCGAACAGGAUUAGAUACCCCAGUAGUC